rnacentral:lncRNA from 1 species
CCUUGACAUGUGUGGACAUGACCUCACCCAUGGUGGUUUCCAGGAUUUGGAUGGGAACCAGUUUCCGCCUAUUUCACCACCUCAGGAGAAAUGCGAGGUAUUCUUCCCGGGGGCACCCAGUCAGCGCUGCAUCUACCCGAGAGUCCCUGCCCAGCCAUGCAAUCAUUUCUGAAACUAAUGAGAUCAGCAGCUUUUCACGAAACCAUGAGUCAUACCUAUUGGUGAGGCUUUCCAGGCUUGAGGAGUGCCUUGAAGUGCCGGCUUCACCAGAUGUUCUGGCAUCACCAAUCCUUCCCCUAAUUCUGAGUGCCACAUCUGACCCACUGCCAACGGUCACAAGGUCGCCAGCGGCCAAAAAUCACCUUGGGCUUCAGGAAACCUUGGUGGAGAGUCCAGCAUAGGCCCAGAAUCUUGCAAUCCACAUCCAGUUCCAGAAACUGAAUUCCAAGAAGCUACACUGAGGAUAAUUCAGCUCUGAUAUUGUGAUUACUGUGAUGUUCUUUCAUUCAUACACCUCAUGAAUAUAUUACAAACAC